CCACCUCUUCCCAUUCCGAACAGAGAAGUUAAGCUCACUUGCGCCGAUGGUACUGCAAUGCAAUGCGGGAGAGUAGGUAGCCGCCUUCU
rnacentral:rRNA from 1 species